rnacentral:lncRNA from 1 species
CUCAGCACUGGGGGAAAAGUUGUUCAGGCAGCCAGACUUAAAUAACUCUUGGGGCUCUUCAGGGCCCGUGUACUGGACAGGGCUCCCCUGUCAUAGCCCAGGCACCCUCUGCUCUCUAGAACCUACUGCUUCCUAUCAUCUCUAUUCCUGCUACCCUGGCUACACAGGGUGGGGGACCAAUUGUCCCAGUUUGCUGAGAUGGAGUGGAUCCUAAGCAUGCAAGACUCUCAGUGCCCAACCAGACCGGUCCUAGUCAAGCUGGCACCCAAUUCGCUGAGCCACCCACUCAACUUUCUCAAGAAGGAUCCUUCUAACAGAGGGAUCUCUAUGUUCUCACCAAAGCCUUCCUCUGCUCCAAUGUGCUCUACUUUGGAGAAACACCAGAGACUCACAUCACAAUCACAGAAUCCCCGGGAAAGCCACCAUGAGGAGGUGUGGCUGUCAGCCAUUUCUUCAGGUCAGGAAGGACUAAAGACUGAGCCUAGAUCAACUUCUCCCGACUUACUGAAGAGGUCCUUGCUCAGGCCCUCGAGCUGGGUAUCCUGGAACACGUACUGAUCCAGUUCCGCUGCCAGAUAAAGAAGCACACGGUCAGUCAAAAAGGUUCCCACGGAAGGCGGCGGUGGUGCGUGCCUCAGAGAAGAUCUUAGUUCGAGGCCAGCCUGGUCUACAAAGUUCCAGGACAGCCAGGGUGAUGUAGAGAGAUCCUGUCUUAAAACCAAAAACCAAAACCAACCAAACAAAGGAUCUCCUGAAAUCUUGCUGUGUGUCUAGCCGCAGGCUAAGGACCUUCUGGGCUGGUGCACAGUAGGGUCUUUAUAAAGGUUACUGAGUAUGUUUUGAAUGAAUGAGCAAACAGACAUAGCUUUUCAUGUGUUUUCUGUCUUAUUAGAUAAGGAAAGCAUGUGCCCAUGAAAAUGUCUGCCACUGGGCUGAGUUCAAAUUCUGCCUCUAUUCUCCACUAGCUCCCUCUGCUGGACCUCCUUGGGCUGGCUGCUUAAUGUUUCUGGUUCCUGUUUCCUCAUCUCAGUGAAGAGAACAAAUAGUGGGUGUUAGCCAGAGGUGGGCAGCAACGUUAGAAGUAUGUUGUAGGACAACUGGCAGAGUCUGUCCUAUCUUCCCACUACCUGACUCCUGGGGCUUAAAUUCAGCUCAUCAGGCUUGGUGGCAAACGCUGUUACCCCAUGAAGCUACUUUGAUGGACAUGCCUUGUCAAACUGCUCAAUUUCAGACACUUCCUUUUUGUAUUUAAGUCAGUGCUUGGAAGUGUGGAGCCUUGGCAUGGGAUUUCAGAUCUGCCAUCUGACUCAGCCUUGAGGCCACUUCAUCUCUCUCCACCUUAAUUUCCUCCUCUGUGAAUAGAAGAUUCUCACGUCACAGACUUCAUCGGCUGCUCCAAGGCGUCAGUGUGGUCUUACGGGUGUAAAAACCAACACGUUGCCAGUGUCGACUGAUGCAUGGCGGCUCAUUGGCUUAGGUGCUGGGGAAGGGUGUGUGGUGUGGGCUUUGUGUAAAAGAGGAGCAGAAAAAAAUGGAAAUGGAAGUGUAGAGCUGGAUGUGGUGCGUGCUGUGGUUCCACAGCCGAGGCUGGAGCAUUGCCAUGAGUUUGAGACUGGACUGGAAUACAUAGUGAGUCCCAGAACAGCCUGGGCUACAAAAGACCUUGUCUCAGAAGCAAAAUAAAACUAACCCAACAAGCAAAACGCAUAAACAGAAAGAAAGUAAGGGAAGUACUGUAAAAG